UGUGAACUCAAUAAAUUUUUU
rnacentral:piRNA from 1 species